AACGCAGAACGCCAUGGAGCAGCGAGAGGAGAGAAGAGGAGCGAAGAGGAGAGGAGAAGAGAGGAGAGGAGAGGAGAGAAGAGGAGAAGUGAGGAGAAGAGGGUAACGCGGUGCAAGCUUGUAGGGAGCGUCAGUGUCAGUGUGCAUGCGGACGGCGAGUCGGCUGGCGGUGUGGGAGUUGGCGUUGCGUCGCAUCGGCAGCCAACCUGCAAUUGCAACUGUGAACGCCAACUCGUAGAGCGCGAGUUUCGAACCGAUCCAUCGGCAGAUCGAACGUGUCGACUCGAGUUCCGUCCGUUCGAGCCGACAGUGCGCGACGUUCCGGACGAUGCGAGACAAGUUCGUUGCUUCGCGAUCGCGGAGUGGCUGGUUCAUCGAGCGAGAUAUUUCUGCGUACGAUUGCUCCUCCGAUCGAUCAUCCAUAGGAAGCUCGUAUUGACCGGGUUUCAAGGGCCGCGUUAGUGUUUGUGGUGGUGAUGGUGGUGGUGGUAGUGGUCGAGAAAAUCGAGUGGUUACGGCGGUGUCGAUCGAUCGUCGGAAUUCCCGGCUGCUGUUCGGACAGGUUGUCUUUCACGGAACGAUGAGACCAUCCGUCUAUCGAUAACCGAUCGUCUCGAUACACCGCCGCGUGGGUGCAUCUAGUGCGAAAAAGUGAACAGGAUCCUUGUCCGGGAUAUACCGCUCAUUCAAGUGUUGAGUCGCAAGACAGAAUGUGCAGCAAGUGCAGCGAGUGUUGCCAGGGAUCUAGGCACAGUGUGGAUGCUAGCCCCACGCCAGGAUCAGAUUCCGAAUCUUCAGGUAACGUGAGAGCGACGG